UGGGGAAUAUUGCGCAAUGGGGGCAACCCUGACGCAGCAACGCCGCGUGCGGGACGACGGCCUUCGGGUUGUAAACCGCUUUCAGCAGGGAAGAUAGUGACGGUACCUGUACAAGAAGCCCCGGCUAACUACGUGCCAGCAGCCGCGGUAAUACGUAGGGGGCGAGCGUUAUCCGGAUUCAUUGGGCGUAAAGCGCGCGCAGGCGGCUCUUCAAGCGGAACCUCUAACCCCGGGGCUCAACCUCGGGCCGGGUUCCGAACUGGAGGGCUCGAGUGCGGUAGAGGCAGGCGGAAUUCCCGGUGUAGCGGUGGAAUGCGCAGAUAUCGGGAAGAACACCGAUGGCGAAGGCAGCCUGCUGGGCCGGCACUGACGCUGAGGCGCGAAAGCUAGGGGAGCGAACAGG
rnacentral:rRNA from 1 species